rnacentral:rRNA from 1 species
UACAUGGGGUGCAAACGUUGCUCGGAAUUAUUGGGCGUAAAGCGCACGUAGGCGGUUUGUUAAGUCGGAUGUGAAAUCCCUCGGCUCAACUGAGGAAGUGCAUCCGAAACUGGCAGGCUUGAGUACUAAAGAGGGUCGCGGAAUUCCCGGUGUAGAGGUGAAAUUCGUAGAUAUCGGGAGGAACACCGGUGGCGAAGGCGGCGACCUGGGUAGAUACUGACGCUGAGGAGCGAAAGCCAGGGGAGCAAACGGG